CCCGGUCCAGCGGCAUCAGAGACAUCCAGGCCAACACCAAGUUAAAUGAAGGAGCCAAACUUGUGUCCUAAUUCCUGAAACCUGACAGCAGCUGCCCUGAGGACAUCCUGACUGUGCACACCGAUCUUGCCCCAUCUCUUGGGCAAUAAUCCCUAAGUUAAACAUGCAGGAACUGAACAAGGAAUCUCAACGGGAGAUCCUAAAUAAAGAUGCAGCCCAGGCAUCUCCCUGGAACCCCUACUCCCAUGUCUCCAGAGGCCUCCUGGAUGUCUCCACCCAAGGUCCCAUGGCCCUUCAAACUCCGUGCUGUGUGUUGAAUCGAGUCUCUCCACACCACCACCGCAGAAGACUGU